AUGACAUUCAUCUUCUUCUUGAUCUUAGGAAUGUAUUUUCAGGAUUCUGCAGGACAGGUGACUGUAAUUCAGACUCCAACAGAGAAACAUGUUCAGAACGGACAAACAGUCACUCUGACCUGUAAAACCAGCAGCUCCAAUGGACGCCAGUCAGACGGUUGGUGUAAGUCUUGUUUCUCCUGGUACCUACAGAAACCUGGAGAAACUCCUAAACGUUUAGUUCACAGCAUCAAAACCCUUCAUACUGGAACUCCAUCAAGAUUCAGUGGCAGUGGAGCUGACACUGAUUUCUCUCUGACCAUCAGUGGAGUCCAGACUGAAGAUACAGGACAUUAUUACUGUCAGAGUUUCCACGAGAUCAACAGUAAAUAUGUGUUCACACAGUGA